AAAAAGGUGAGCUAACUAAGCUAAUGGGUUCAUACCCCGCAAAUAGAAGUAAAACCUUCUCCUUUUUA
rnacentral:tRNA from 1 species